GGUGGCAUGCUUAACACAUGCAAGUCGAACGGCAGCAUGAUCUAGUUUACUAGAUUGAUGGCGAGUGGCGGACGGGUGAGUAACGCGUAGGAAUCUACCAUAGUGAGGGGAUAACUUUAGGAAACUGAAGCUAAUACCGCAUAAUACCUUCGGGUCAAAGGUGCCAGUUUACUGGUGUCGCAUUAUGAUGAGCCUGCGUUGGAUUAGCUAGUUGGUAGGGUAAAGGCCUACCAAGGCGACGAUCCAUAGCUGUUCUGAGAGGGAGAUCAGCCACACUGGGACUGAGACACGGCCCAGACUCCUACGGGAGGCAGCAGUGGGGAAUAUUGGACAAUGGGCGAAAGCCUGAUCCAGCAAUGCCACGUGUGUGAAGAAGGCCUGAGGGUUGUAGAGCACUUUAGUCAGGGAGGAAGGAUACUCGGUUAAGAGCUAAGUAUCUUGACGUUACCUGAAGAAUAAGCACCGGCUAACUCUGUG
rnacentral:rRNA from 1 species